AUACGUAGGGGGCGAGCGUUGUCCGGAAUGAUUGGGCGUAAAGGGCGCGUAGGCGGCGCGGUAAGUCUGGAGUGAAAGUCCUGCUUUCAAGGUGGGAAUUGCUUUGGAUACUGCCGCGCUUGAGUGCAGGAGAGGUUAUCGGAAUUCCCGGUGUAGCGGUGAAAUGCGUAGAGAUCGGGAGGAACACCAGUGGCGAAGGCGGGUAACUGGGCUGCAACUGACGCUGAGGCGCGAAAGUGUGGGGAGCAAACAGGAUUAGAUACCCUGGUGGUCCACACUGUAAACGAUGAAUGCUAGGUGUAAGAGGUAUCGACCCCUUUUGUGCCGGAGUCAACACAAUAAGCAUUCCGCCUGGGGAGUACGGCCGCAAGGUUGAAACUCAAAUGAAUUGACGGGG
rnacentral:rRNA from 1 species